rnacentral:lncRNA from 1 species
CUUUUUCUGUCUAAUUUUGUGAUUCUGAUCUUAUUUUGCAGAAAAUGAUGUAAAGAGGUAAUUUGGAGAAAAUGCUCUUAAAACUGCCUAAAAUGGAACAAAGGAGAACAAGCAUACCAAGUUGCAACUGAAGAGGAGAUAAAUAAGGAAAGUAAUUUGAAAUUCAAAUUUUAAAUCUUCAAGAGCAUUCAAAAUUCAAAAUUCAGCUUAUUCAAUAAGCCAAAUCUCAAGGAGAUACACAUUCAAA